AACUUUAUGUGAUUACAUAAAGCACAUCCUGCUCAGUGAAAUUAAACAGCCGCAGAACUUUAUACUGUGCUAAGGUAGCAUAAUCACUUGUCUUUUAAUUAAAGAAUAGAAUGAAUGGAUAAACGAAUAUACAACUAUUUAUUUAUUUGUAAUAAAAUUACACUAAAAGUAAAAAUGCUUUUCUCCUCAAAAAGACGACAAGACCCUAAAGAACUAAACUUUUGUUUGGCUGGGGCGGCCCAACAAAAAAAUCUUGUCUAACACACACAAAUCCUACUUCUAUAAAAGUUACCUUAGGGAUAACAGCAUAAUUUAAUUCUAAAGCUCUUAUAAAAAAUUAAGUUUAUGACCUCGAUGUUGAAUUAAGCCUCUUUUUGACGAAAAUUUCAAACAAUGAAAGUCUGUUCGACUUUUAAAACCUUACA
rnacentral:rRNA from 1 species